GACGAACCGUGCGAACGUUGUUCGAAUCGACUGGCUUAAAGGGCGUCGAGUAGGCGGGUCGGCAAGUCAGGGGUGAAAUACUCCGGCUCAACCGGAGCAGUGCUUUUGAUACUGCCGAUCUCGAGGGGUGUAGGGGCAUGUGGAACUUCCGGUGGAGCGGUGAAAUGCGUAGAUAUCGGAAGGAACGCCGGUGGCGAAAGCGACGUGCUGGAUACCUACUGACGCUGAGGCGCGAAAGCCAGGGGAGCAAACGGG
rnacentral:rRNA from 1 species